ACCAGGAAUCUUGAAGCAAACAAAUUUUCUGGCAGUGUUCCUCCUGAACUUGGGAAACUUAAUAACUUGAGUACUUUGAUGUUGUCCUCGAAUCAGUUGAGUGGAAAGCUACCAACUUCAUUUGCUGAGCUACAGAAUUUAACAGAUUUUAGGAUAAAUGAUAACAACUUCAGCGGAGCAAUACCUGAUUUUAUACAGAACUGGAA